rnacentral:rRNA from 1 species
AUGGGGGCAGCCUGACGCAGCAACGCCGCGUGAGUGAGGAAGGYYUUCGGACCGUAAAGCUCUGUCGAGCGGGAAGAAAUGCAUGGUGGCUAAUAUCCAUCAUGCUUGACGGUACCGCUAAAGGAAGCACCGGCUAACUCCGUGCCAGCAGCCGCGGUAAUACGGGGGGUGCAAGCGUUGUUCGGAAUUAUUGGGCGUNAAGAGCGUGUAGGCGGCUGAAUAAGUCAGAUGUGAAAUCCCUGGGCUUAACCCAGGACGUGCAUUUGAAACUAUUCAGCUUGAGUAGGGGAGAGGAAAGUGGAAUUCCUGGUGUAGAGGUGAAAUUCGUAAAUAUCAGGAGGAACACCGGUGGCGAAGGCGACUUUCUGGCCCUAUACUGACGCUGAGACNCGAGAGCGUGGGUANCAAACAGGAUUAGAUACCCUGGUAGUCCACGCUGUNAACGAUGUUCACUANGUGUUGGGGGUAUUGACCCUCUCAGUGCCGCAGCUAACGCAUUAAGUGAACCGCCUGGGGAGUAC